UCUCCAAUCCUUUCUGUGCCAAGACAUGAGUGUGUGGUGGCACCUGUGAGGGCCCAGUCUCGUGGGAAUGUCCCCUCCCAGGGCAGGUGGCGGCUGGGGACGCGCCCAAGGUCUCGGCCGUGAGCCCGUCUCACAGAGCCGCUCAGCGCUGAGAAGCGCUCCCAGAGCCGCCACCACGCAGCCCAGCCGAGGCGAGCAAUCAGUGCACCGCGCCGCUGCAUGUAAAGCAUGUCCCAGUCCCAGGCUGGCCCAUGAGUGGACCUGGGCCCACGGCCCACGAGUCCAAGGACCUCUGGCAGAAAACACCAAGGCCAGGUCUGGCUGACACAGGCACCUGCACCCUUAAACUGGCAGCAGAACCCAGCAAGGCAGCCGCCUGCAGAAUGGCCCCAACAGACCCUCAUGCCUCUGGAGCUUUGGUUCUUGAGAGAUGUAAGUCCUGACUGUGCAUUGUGACCCCUCAACCUGCCCCAGAGGGCCCCAGAACCUCGAGAGAUUUCCCAGCAGCGUCUGGGGUUUUAUUGACACGCCAGAGCAGGAGAUAAACCCCACCUAAUGUCAGAACAAAUACGAGGCUGAAACCUGAGAGGCCUGGGAGAGAUAAGGCAGGCAUCCGCCCCCGGCUGUGAGGUGAGCAGGGGAGGGAAAGGCUGUGCCCCCAGCCACCCCCA
rnacentral:lncRNA from 12 species